GAUGAACGCUGGCGGCGUGCCUAAUACAUGCAAGUCGAGCGAAUGGAUUAAGAGCUUGCUCUUAUGAAGUUAGCGGCGGACGGGUGAGUAACACGUGGGUAACCUGCCCAUAAGACUGGGAUAACUCCGGGAAACCGGGGCUAAUACCGGAUAACAUUUUGAACCGCAUGGUUCGAAAUUGAAAGGCGGCUUCGGCUGUCACUUAUGGAUGGACCCGCGUCGCAUUAGCUAGUUGGUGAGGUAACGGCCCACCAAGGCAACGAUGCGUAGCCGGCCUGGGAGGGUGAUCGGCCACAGUGGGACUGAGAGACGGCCCAGACUCCUGCGGGAGGCAGCAGUAGGGAAUCUUCCGCAAUGGACGAAAGUCUGACGGAGCAACGCCGCGUGAGUGAUGAAGGCUUUCGGGUCGUAAAACUCUGUUGUUAGGGAAGAACAAGUGCUAGUUGAAUAAGCUGGCACCUUGACGGUACCUAACCAGAAAGCCACGGCUAACUACGUGCCAGCCGCCGCGGUAA
rnacentral:rRNA from 1 species